UAUAAUAUAGCAAAUUAGUGCAUUGAUUUUAAACAUCAAAUAUAAAAAAUUUUAAAUAUUUUUUUAUUAUAA